AUUGAACGCUGGCGGCAGGCCUAACACAUGCAAGUCGAACGAGUGGCGGACGGGUGAGUAAUGUCUGGGAAACUGCCUGAUGGAGGGGGAUAACAACUGGAAACGGUAGCUAAUACCGCAUACCAUCAGAUGUGCCCAGAUGGGAUUUGCUUGUUGGUGGGGUAACGGCUCACCAAGGCGACGAUCCCUAGCUGAUCUGAGAGGAUGACAGGCCACACGAGAACGGAGACACGGUCAAGGCUCCUACGGGAGGCAGCAGUGGGGAAUAGUGCACAAUGGGCGCAAGCCUGAUGCAGCGAUGGCGCGUGUAUGAAGAAGGCCUGCGGGGUGUAAAGUACUUUCAGCGGGGAGGCGGUACCCGCAGAAGAAGCACCGGCUAACUCCGUGCCAGCAGCCGCGGUAAUUC
rnacentral:rRNA from 1 species